rnacentral:rRNA from 1 species
ACUCGAGUGGCGAACGGGUGAGUAACACGUGGGUGAUCUGCCCUGCACUUCGGGAUAAGCUUGGGAAACUGGGUCUAAUACUGGAUAGGAGCCAUCUUUAGUGUGGUGGUUGGAAAGUUUUUCGGUGUAGGAUGAGUUCGCGGCCUAUCAGCUUGUUGGUGGGGUAAUGGCCUACCAAGGCGGCGACGGGUAGCCAGCCUGAGAGGGUGUACGGCCACAUUGGGACUGAGAUACGGCCCAG